rnacentral:lncRNA from 1 species
CCAAAUCCUUCACCCCAAAUUCCAAAUCCUACACCCACAAAAUCCAAACCCUUCACCCCAAAAUCCAAAUCCUUCGCCCCAAAAUCCAAAUCCUUCGCCCCAAAAUUCAUCCCAAAAUCCAAAUUCUUCAUCCCAAAUUUCAAAUUCUUCACCCCAAAUUCCAAAUCCUUCUCCCCAAAAUUCAUCCGAAAACCCAAACCCUUCACCCCAAAAUCCAAAUCCUUCACCCCAAAUUCCAAAUUCUUCAUCCCAAAAUCCUUCAUCCCAAAGUUCCCAAAUACUUCCAAAUCCUUCAUCCCAGAAAACAAAUGUAUCACCCCAAAAUCCUUCACCCCAAAAUCCAAAUCCUUCGCCCCAAAAUCCUUCACCCCAGAAUCCAAAUCCUUCACGCCAAAAUUCAUCCCAAAAUCCAAAUUCUUCAUCCCAAAUUUCAAAUUCUUCACCCCAAAAUCCAAAUCCUUAAUCCCAAAUUCAUCCCAAAAUCCAAACCCUUCACCCCAAAAUUCCACCCCAUCCCAUUUUUUCCCUUUAUUUUGGUGCUUCCCCACCCAGUUUUUAUAUUUUUCCCCCACCCCAAUGUUUUGUGUUUUAUUUUAUAUUUUGUGUUUUAUUUCAUAUUUUGCAUUUUAUUUUAUAUUUUUUAUCCCACUCCAAUGUUUUG